rnacentral:tRNA from 1 species
AAUAUAAGUAUGAACAUUUAAAAAUUUCUAAUUUUUGUAAUUUAUGGUCAAAAUCUAUUUUUAUAUUA